UGGUUAAUGGAUGGAAUUCCACCAACACAAUGGCGGACUACAUCAGCAACAUGUGAACUCCCUGUGGGAGUGAAAGGUGGCUGUGAAAAGAUCUUUCUUGACUCACACCUGCAGCAUCAGUCACCUCUCCACUGUCCAUAAGCUGCAGUGUGUGUGUACGCACUGUUUUGAGCAGUCAGAUGGAGAGCAGAGAAGUGUAUCAAUCUGGUUUUACAAGUUCUUCUAGAAAUGCAUCUUUCUGUUAAAAUUACAGUUAUGGUAGGACAUACAUGAUUUUACUUUGUCAUUAGCUGUGUGACAUAUUUCAUCGGCUCCAUUUAUGUGACAUUUAUUUAAUGCAACAUUUAAUAUGUUCUCUUGUAUCAGAGCACACAAAAUAAACAAGUAUCCUGUUAGUUUGA